UGGCCUUGACAUAGUAGAAACUUUCCAGAGAUGGAAAGGUGCCUUCGGGAAUCUACAUACAGGUGCUGCAUGGCUGUCGUCAGCUCGUGUCGUGAGAUGUUGGGUUAAGUCCCGCAACGAGCGCAACCCUUUUCCUUACUUGCCAGCAUUUCGGAUGGGAACUUUAAGGAUACUGCCAGUGACAAACUGGAGGAAGGCGGGGACGACGUCAAGUCAUCAUGGCCCUUACGGCCAGGG
rnacentral:rRNA from 1 species